rnacentral:sRNA from 1 species
UAGUAAUAUAAACAGGAUGGUGCAGUAUUCUAGUCGGCCCUCCGUUUCUGAAGGCGGGCCUAAAAAUCCGCCAAAGGGCACAUCGAUGAAGUUCCUUGUGUUGGCUUGAGGCGCCCAGCCUUGGGUCGAUGCUGGGAGUUAAGGUCGCAGGGCGAUCCACAAUGGCAUGUGGGCGUUGACCCUGCUUCCGCGGAGGCCCAUAUUUGUGGGAGGCUGUUCUCAAACGUCUCCUAUGAAGUGGGGUAUGAACCUGUGAGAUCGCUUUUUUGGGAAGAUUAAUCGGUCCACAGCGUAGCCUGCCUUGAGUGGCUCUGAGGGGAUUAUGGCUUUUAAGUGUCAGAGUAGAUGGCCACUACAACGACGCUUACCCGACCAUAUGAAAUCAGCGCUGCAAAAGAGGCUAGGGAACGGUUAAAGGCUGCUGAGGAAAUCUCCUAGACUGUUCGCAUGGACACCUAAAAGGGAUUAUAGUGCGGACUAAGUGGCAAUCCAGUCUAGUAUUCGGAGACGAUGCUAAGGUAGAUUUAAAGGGGAACCGCUGACGUGGCAACACGCAGUAUCUGCUUGGGAAAACCUACUGGACCUAAGCCGCAGUUUUUAUCUUUUAGGUGACCAUCCUGACUAAUACAUAA